UCUUAUCGUUGAGGUGACUGAGCAAAGAGCGAAGAUAGCUUCAUUUUGGAGGACAGUAGAGUAAGAACUGCAAGGAUCCUUUAAUGGGAAAUAUUAAUUUCUCAUGUUUCACCUUAAUCAUGAAAUAGAUGCAUAUAGUUUUAAUAUUUUCAACUAUGUCUCUUAUUCUGGAAGUUAGUGGUUUUAUAUUCACUUUGGGUGGAUGGGUCAUUGUUGGAGCAACUCUAUCAAAUAGUUAUUGGAAAGUCUCCACUGUUUUCGGGAAUGUCAUCACAACCUCUACCUUGUAUGAAAACCUGUGGCACAGCUGUGCAGAAGAAAGUACUGGAAUCUCCAACUGCAAAGCAUUUAAUAGUCUUCUGGCACUUCCUGCUUUUAUUCAAGCAUGCCGAGCCCUGAUGAUUACAUCCCUUGUCUUGGGUAUGGGCGGGACUCUGCUGGCAUUGCUUGGUUUGAAAUGCACUCAGAUUGGUUCCAAUGAUGAAAGAACAAAAGCAAGGAUUUCCAUAAUGAGUGGAAUGGUAUUCAUUUUAGCAGGUCUCUCAUCAAUGGUUGCUCUUUCAUGGUAUGCAGCAAAUAUCACAGCUGAGUUUUUUGAUCCUUUAUAUGCUGGAACAAAAUAUGAACUGGGAUAUGCACUGUAUCUAGGUUGGGCUGGUUCCCUUCUUUCCAUAGUUGGUGGGAUGCUGUUGACGUGGUCAUCGUGCAAAGGAAACCAAAGAGACCAUGGAUAUCAUUAUGCAGCUUCAGCAACAGUUAAUGAACCGCAAAUUUACAUCAAGCAGGCUGAGACGGUCACACCUGCCAAAGAUUAUGUUUAAAAUUUUAUUUAAGAGGUAUUUACAUUUUCUAACCCAAUACAAAAUAGCACUUUGCAAAGUGUGCUAGUGCGCAUAACCUAUCCCUCGUUCAAGUUUUAAAGCACCUGUUGCACCCUCUGGAAGGCUUGCAACUGUUUUCAAAAGCCUUCCCCAGUUGCCUGUGACUGUAUAUGUUCACAUUCAACACAGAAGCUACCAGAAAUAGCUCUUGAAGCAGCUGCAAAGCCUUCCAAAGAAUGUGAUGCUUUAAUUUUUCAUGGAGGGGGGCUUUACUUAUGCUUAACAGUUUGUGAAGCACCCUUGUCUAAUGCUUUGGCACAGCCCUAACACACCUCUUCCUCUGCAACGUUUACCUAGGGCAUUCUCCCAUUUAUGCCUAUUCAUGGCACUAUGCCCUGGCAAUAUCUGAUGUUGCCAUCAUCUUAUCCUCAAAGAGUGAGACAAGUUUAAAUUGCCCUUUGCUGUAUUGGUUUUAAUGUUGUAUUUUCCUUCUAUUCUGACACAAAGAACAAACUCAAGAUGUGCAAAAUCCAUUGGGGUUUGUAACCCACACCUAUAAGCUUGGAGAGAAGUUCAGGCAAGGGAUUGGCAAUUGAUUCAGAAAACUUUGGUAUAGUUUUCUGCCCACUCAAGUGUAGAUGAAUGGCUUUUCAGCUCAACAGUGAGGAAAGGCCCUUAAGUAGUUUUUCAUUUUAGGGUUGAAUAUUAAAAUGAACAUUAUGGCGUAUGUAAAAUUUCCUCAUGAAAAUUAUUUAAACCACAAAAUCAUGGAAAAUGACAUAUUUUUCCUAGUUUGUUAAAUGUACUAUGUCAUAUUAUUUGGGGACUUUAUAAAGUUAUGACGAUUUCCAGAAUAAAACUACUUAGAACUCUGGAGGAUUGAGGGUUUAAAUGUAUAUUAAAAACAGUAUCUGAGAAGGAACUAAUUCUGAUUUCUCAAGCAUAUCUCGAGGGAAGAAAGGAAGGAAGGAAGGAGGGAGGGACACAUACAUACAUAGCCAUCAAGUCAGUAUUGACUCCUGGGGAUUGCAUGGACAAAACCAUCCAGUUUUCUUGGCAACAUUUUUUGUAAGUGGCCUGCUAUUGCCUUCUUCCUAUGGCUGGGAGACCUUGAGUAGCCUGGUCACACAGCUGGCCACUCAUGGUCUCCCAGUUUCUAGCUAAGUGCAUUUAAUUAUUACACCAAAGUGGUUCCAGAGACAGUUUGGGGUAGUGGUUAAGGCAACGGGCUAGAAACUGGGAGACUGAGUUCUAGUCCCACCUUAGGCAUGAAAGCUGGCUGGGUGACCUCAGGCCAAUCACUGUAUCUCAGCCCAACUCACCUCACGGGGUUGUUAUUGUGGGGAAAAUAGGAGAAGGAAGGAGUAUUAGGUAUGUUCACUGCCUUGAGUUAUUUAUAUAUUAAUAAUAAAGGCAGAACAGAAAAUAAAUAAAUAAAUAAAUAAAAUUAGAAUAAUUUAUACAAAGCAGGGACUGGAACUAGUGAUUUGAAAACAGGUCCCAACAUCUUUUAUUUUUGUCCAUGUUUGCUGGGUCUAUUGGGAAGUGCAAUUUAAGAAUAUUUAGGGGCUAAGAUUCCCCAUCUGUGAUACAGUCUCUUCAGUGCUAUUUUAUACAGAAGGUCUUAUUGAAUUCAGUGAAAUUUAUGCUGAGAUCUAUAGGCACUGUGUCCAAAGUGCUUCACAUACAUAUUGCCUUAUAAUAAUUUGUAUGUUAAACCAAUCUUGCAGAGAUGGAAGGUAAACUUUGUUACAUGAUUAUAACAUCUGCUGUUUAGAACUAUGUAUCAAUCUUAUCUCCACUUGGUGUUCCUCAAAAAUGUAAAUAUCAAAAUUUCCAGUCAAUGAAAAAUUCUCAUUAUGCUUGAGAAUUCUAGCAGUUGAGUUCUCAGCAUAACCCAGAGGGCACAGUGUGGAAAUAAGGCUAGUAUGUAGAAUACUUCUAUACAAAAGCUGGUACAGUCUUCAAGAGUUUUGGAGCAAAGUGUAUGUUACACAUAAAUAAAUGUAAGAAACUUUUAAAUAACUUUUUUUUUUAAAGUAACCAUUUUAAGAGUGGAAAUAUUACCAAUAGUAAGAAGAUAUUUUCAUUUAGGAUGGAAAAAACAGGAGAUUAGAGUGGAGAAUUGUUAGUAUGAGAUAAGUUGAUCACUUUGGCUUUCUCUCUUCUCCCAAACUACAGUAUUUCUCACUUUAAACACUAUUAAGGUUUAAUAACAGAGAAGUUUUCUAACUUGCCUCCUACAAGCUAGAGUGCUCCUAAAAUGAUGUUUAUAAAAUGAAGGGUCACCAUUCACUGGUAUUUUCAAACAAAUAUGCCAAGUACUCAAGCUGAUGUGUUUUUGAGGUAAAUGGAGGUAAUAAACCACUGGACAGCACUUAACUAGCAUCAAGAAUAAUGAGGUUGUAGUCCACCACUACCUGAACAGUGAGACGUGAAAGUAUUUGUAUGGGCUUCCUUGCAUUCCAAAAGCCCCUGAAAACCAUUUAUUUUAAUAAGCUUUUGACCUGUGAUUGUCUGUGACCAUUUGACAAUUGUAUUAAUUGUAAUAUGAUUGUAUGUUUUAAUGGGUCUAAUUAAUAAAGUUUUCUCCUUGUUUUGCAUUGCCCGAAGUCUUUUCAAUUCGAGUGGUCUACAAAUAUUGUAAAUAAAUAGAGAUAUAAAUUACAAAUAAGGGUAGAUUUAUUUGAAAUGAUAAAUCCAAAUUAAGUAUUUUAUAUUGUAUAUAUUACUCCCUAUCCAUUCUGUGCAGCUGUGUGUCACCUAUUACUGGCAUCUGAACAUGCUGUCCUAAAAAUACAGAGAAUGAGAACAAAAACUUUUAUGUAUGUAAUGCCUAUUUACCAUUGUCAAAAUAUAUAGAUGAAGCAGAACACAUUUGAAGCAAACUUACAUUAAAUACAUGUUUUAAACAA